rnacentral:rRNA from 1 species
GAUGAACGCUGGCGGCGUGCCUAAUACAUGCAAGUCGAGCGAACAGACGAGGAGCUUGCGCCGCGGACGUUAGCGGCGGACGGGUGAGUAACACGUGUAAAACCUACCUAUAAGACGGGGAUAACUUCGGGAAACCGGAGCUAAUACCGUAGAAUAUAUUGAACCGCAGGGUGCAAUAGUGAAAUACGGUGUUGCCGGCUGUUAUGGAUGGAUCCGCGCCGCAUUAGCUAGUUGGGAAGGUAACGGCUUACGAAGGGUACGAGGCGUAGCCGACAUUGGAGCUUGGACGCCGUCCAGGCGCCUGCGGGACGCCGCAGUAGGGAAUCUUCCGCAAUGGGCGAAAGCCUGACGGAGCGACGCCGAGUGAGUGAUGAAGGCCUUCGGUUCGUAAUACUCUGUUAUGAGGGAAAAACAACUGUGUAAGUAACUGUGCACGUAUUGACGGUACCUAGUCAGAAAGCCACGGCUAACUACGUG